UUUCUAGUUAUCUAUGUGUCAUACUUUUAAAAUUUAUUUACUUAUCCUUUUCUAAUACUCCCAUUAGAAGAAUUCAACUUUCUUAUUCUAUUUUAAAAGGUCUACAUCCUAUUUUCAUUCUUACGGUGAACAAUGCAACUUAAUAACACUCAUAUUUACGCUUCUUUUUCCCUAAAAAAUUUAAAGUUUAUCUAUAUCUAAAUCUUCUCUCCACCACAAAACCAAGACAAAUAGCUAAGCUCACUCUCACGUUCCGAUGCUCACUCUCACGUUCCGAUGGCCACGUGCACUUCCACCCCACAGUGAUAUCAUCUACAGCAGUGCUGCUCAAAAUGUGCUUCAUGAACAAGCACUGGUCUACAAACUGUUUGAUACCAGUCUUGAUAUUUUAAAAAAGGACCUUUGUGUCAAAGUGUAAACCAUCUGUAUUACUAAGCACAGUUUAGUCCCGCUGACUUUUUUUCUCCUAGCAAGAUUUUCUCAAUAAAAGCAGCAGCGUCUUGAUCUACUUUCCUGCACAAGCUUCCUGUCUCAUCCAGAUGGUAACAAACUAUUUUUUGAACCGCAGUCAAAGUAGCGUUGGUCUAGACUAGAGUUUUAGUGCUAGAUUGUUAGAAUAUGUUUUUCGGGUCAUUGUUUAUGUAGUCAAACUUUACUGAGCUCGAUGUUCAUUUUCUUCAACGCUUGAUAAAUGCGACUUUAUUCUUUUCUUGCAUUCUGUGCUGCUACUCAGAAAAUUUAAUGUGAUUUUUAUUGCUUGGUACUUGACCUGCAUUUAUCCUCUGGAGACUUGUAACAUUUGCUUUUUGAACUUGGUGCUCUAAAAUGUUAACUCAGUAUGGCUGGUGUAGAGUUUCCUUCAUCUAUUCUGUUGUAUGAGCCCUUUCAAACUGAGGUCUUACAUCUUCCAUUCUGGAAAUUUUUCAAUAAUUAUUUUUUCAAGUACUAACUUCCCUCCAUUUAAUUGACAGUGACUCCAAUGAUAUUGAUACUAACAUUUCUUCUUCUAUCCCUCACAGCUCUGAACAUUUUUUUAUUUUUCAUCUUAUUACCCCUUCCUAGUGCUUUCCUAGAAUAUUCUCCAUCCUGAAGAUCCAGCUCAAUAUUUUCUUCUUUGGUUGUAUUCAUUCUGCUACUCAAUUAUUAAACCCGUCCAGUAAGAUCUUUCCUUCAAAGAUAAUAUAUUCAUAUCUAGUAUCUCCAGUUGAUUCUUUGAAGCUUCCUGUUACAUGUUUCUCUAUAGUCUCCCUUAUCUCUCUGAUGAUAUUUACUGUUUUUAUUGUAAAUUCUUUGUCCACCAGAUCCAUUCACUCUGAUUACUUCUAGAGUGACUUUUUUGUCUUUUUUUUUUUGGCUUGUGGGUUCAUAAUGUGAGUUUGUGAGCUCAUAUUAUCACGGUAAAAUCAGUUAGUUAUGUUGGCAAGGCAGAUACAAGGGAGAGGAGUGACAGUCUGGGCCCUAGCUUGUACUAGUUUAGGCAGUAGAUGGACCUCACAGCACGAAGACCAUCUGGCAUUACAUUCUGGGGUCAAUGGCUCUUUCUGUGUCCUCCUCUGAGGAGAUCCUGCCUAUCAGGUAACUGCCUCAUACCUCUACCCCAGACAUCACUCCUUUCUAAAAGUAAUCAUAAAGACUCUUUUGUAAUCUAUUGUCCAGCUCAGGAAGGAGGUAAGUAAGGAGGUUGGAGGGAAUGUUGCAGGACCUAACUGCACUCAACUCCAGCUAAACACCCCAGGGCUCACCUAGUCCAUCUAGGAUCUGCUGUUCAUACCAGUUCAAUUGCUAAUGUUCCUUGCUCUGCUCUCCAAAGGCCUCAUCCUUCCUGACAGCAGCUGACGCAGCAGCUUGGGUUAUAACCUCCUUCAACAUGAAGAGUUCUCGUUUCGCCAUGCUCCACUAAAAUGACUAGAGCAGGACUUAAUCCUAUUCUGAAUCUCAGCCCUGAUACCCUGCCUAGCCAGGAGGCUAGAUCCUGACUCCCAAUCCAAAGUCGUUGGCUGGGGUACUGCUUCAGCCAGACAGACCACCUGGAACCAAGAUGCUGCCAACAACCAGAGUCAGAAUACUGCCAGAACACAGAGAGUACUAUUGCAACAUCCUAUCCACCAACUGAAUGCCCUUCGACACCAAUGUGGCCUGAUUUUCCUGGACUUUGACCAUUCUCUGUGGACUCCGUGAUUUCCAUUGCAGCUCUGCAAUGGAGUUAGUUCCCCUAAGCUAAUUCCUCCUGUUUCUAGCUUUUUCCCUCUCCCUGGGAAACCUCACUGCUGUGCAUGCCUCUGCCUGCAGUGGAAUUUAGGGAAGAGUUUAAUCAUAUUUACCCAGGGAAAGCAUAGUGUAUUAUUUACUCUAAAUCAUCUUUCCUAAGUUUGUAUGCUUUGCUUACAUAGAUACUUUUGAAAAUAGAGUAAAGGAGAAAAAAGGAUGAUUAAAUAAUUUGUUAAGUGGU